CCUGUCUUCUUCCUUUUUUUAAAUCUUUCUUUAUUGAGAUUUACAUAAUAUACAAAAUCCUUAACAACCACUUCUUCUGUCUAUGCCACAAUACUUAGCGGCAGAACUGGAAGCUCCAGCUUUUCCUGUCUCUUUCUUCCCCCACACAGAAACUUAUAUCCUUAUUUAUUUGAGAAUUCUAAAUUUAUAAUGAUGGUUUUUUAUUAAUUUCUUUUCCAUUUAUUGGCAUUUGACCACAGUCUAUAAUAUUGAUAAAGCUCGAGUAAUUUCUUUGUAUUAACAAAGAUUUCUCUUCUAGGUGAUUUGAUUUCAAGACAGUAGAACAGAAGUUAUGUUUGUAUAUUGUAUAUAUACAAUGUUUUUUUUGUUUUUUUCUUGUAUA
rnacentral:lncRNA from 1 species